rnacentral:rRNA from 1 species
GAUGAACGCUGGCGGCGUGCCUAAUACAUGCAAGUCGAGCGAACAGACGAGGAGCUUGCUCCUCUGACGUUAGCGGCGGACGGGUGAGUAACACGUGGAUAACCUACCUAUAAGACUGGGAUAACUUCGGGAAACCGGAGCUAAUACCGGAUAAUAUAUUGAACCGCAUGGUUCAAUAGUGAAAGACGGUUUUGCUGUCACUUAUAGAUGGAUCCGCGCCGCAUUAGCUAGUUGGUAAGGUAACGGCUUACCAAGGCAACGAUGCGUAGCCGACCUGAGAGGGUGAUCGGCCACACUGGAACUGAGACACGGUCCAGACUCCUACGGGAGGCAGCAGUAGCGAAUCUUCCGCAAUGGGCGAAAGCCUGACGGAGCAACGCCGCGUGAGUGAUGAAGGUCUUCGGAUCGUAAAACUCUGUUAUUAGGGAAGAACAAAUGUGUAAGUACCUAUGCACGUCUUGACGGUACCUAAUCAGAAAGCCACGGCUAACUACGUG